UUGAAGACUGCAACGUGUACUGCACCAGAGAAUCUGAACCUCAUUGUGGCUCCGAUGGCCAUACUUAUGGCAACAAGUGUUCCUUCUGUAAAGCUGUGGUGAAAAGUGGUGGAAAGAUGACAUUAAAGCAUCUGGGACAAUGCUGAGGCUUGACUAGUAUUGUGUGUGGACCAUCUUCCAGCCUUUACUUCUCCAUUUUUUCUGAUUCCUUUCCUUAUUCAUCUUCUUCCUUAUUUUUCUGUGAGGGAAAACACCACAGAGAAAUACCUUUUACUGACCUCAGGCCUGGGAAAGGGUUCAACCUAAGCCAAUGUACAUCUAUGCUCUCUUACAUAUUCUAUAUAAAUAAAGUAUAUUCCACAGAA